CUAGCCUGCGUGAUUAAGCUAAUACAUCCGCCUACUGUGCCAAACAACUUCCUGUUACAGUUUCAUAGUUGAUCUUAUGAAAAAGUGCUUUAAAUUUUUAUCAAUUAGUAUGAUGUAAUAAUCUGCAUCACUGAAGCCACUCAUAGUUAUGGUGUCUUUUAAAUCACAGGCAGGAGGACUUAAGUGAAGACAGGUCCUGACUGGUGGACUACAGUACGUGCUGACAGGAAGUACAGUACUGUAUAUGCAGAUUUCCCCAGUGUGCUGUGCCUUGGAAAAUAAGGAUAACAACAGCAGAUGAACAGUAAAGGAUGAAGCAGGAUGCCUCAGGAAGAGUGAGAUAACAUUGGUAGUUCCAUGUUGAAACUGCAAAGGACCAUCAGCCCAGAGCUAAUCACGAUUUUCAUGACAUUAAGCAAAUAGAGAGCACAUGACUCCAGCCCCCAGUGGACAGAAAGCCAGUUCACCAGAGAGCAGCUGGGUGGCCUGGAGCAAUCAGGUUAAAGUACCCUGCAAAAAGUACGCCUCAGGGACUUUAACCCACCAGUCCAGAAACUGACCCACUACAGUAUGUUACACUGUCUUCCAAGAAAAGUAACCUGGCUAAUAUAUGGAAUUAGUUAAAGUCAUAUUUCACAAAGGUGUUUAUCAAGGAAGAAAUUGACAACACAUCUCUAGCUGAGCCAAGAUAAAGCUUAGCAACAUUAAAUAGCUUUAGCAUAGUAUAGAGUUUUUCUGAUUACACAUUGUACACUAUGCUCUUUAUUUUCUCUCUGAUUCACUGUUGAGAGCUAAGGAGGUUUGCUAGCCACAAUUGUUUCAGACACAAUAGUGACUUUCGUGAUAAGACAUGUUUCAUAAAUUGACUGAUUUUGCUUAAAAUUAUUAUUUGCAUAUAGAAACUGCAUUAUAUCAGCUACAGAACCUUCAAAACAAUGUAAGAGGUACAUUAAGGUACUCAUGCAAAAUGUCUCGAGAUAUUUUACUGAAAAAAAUCCAGUGCAAAACAUUGUCACUACUGUACACAUUAUUUGAAGAAAUACAAUAGUAGUUGACACCUUUAACCAAAAUACAGCAACAAAUGUUUUACUCUUGGUGUGUCUUGGUUCAAUUCAAGUAUCUGGCUAUAGAUCUAACACUGUAACACAGUUUGAAUAUAAAAGUGUGCAACCAUCUUCUGAAUGCACUCUUUCCACUGCAUAUUGAUCACACAAAUAGGCAGAUUCUGGGCUACUGCUGUCAGAUAUGUAUUUAAAUGUACAAAUGUAUUUUAAAUCAGAAUGUGGAUUAAAAGUGUU